AUAAGAAUAUUGCGCAAUGGUCUAACGACUGACGCAGCGACGCCGCGUGACUGAUGAAGCCCUUCGGGGUGUAAAGGUCUUUUCUCAGGGAAAAAUACAUGAUGGUACCUGAGGAAUAAGAGGUUGCUAACUCUGUGCCAGCAGCAGCGGUAAUACAGAGACCUCAAGCGUUACCCGGAAUUAUUGGGCGUAAAGCGUCCGCAGGCGGCGAGCCAAGUCAGGCAUUAAAUUCCGAAGCUUAACUUCGGAGCUGUGUUUGAAACUGGCUCACUAGAGACAAGGAGAGGCACACGGAAUUCCCGGUGUAGGGGUUACAUCCGUUAAUAUCGGGGAGAACACCAUUUGCGAAGGCGGUGUGCUAGACUUGUUCUGACGCUCAGGGACGAAAGCGUGGGUAGCGAAUGGA
rnacentral:rRNA from 1 species